rfam:Saccharomyces kudriavzevii IFO 1802 unplaced genomic scaffold c995, whole genome shotgun sequence.
UUUUGUUGCCUACAGAACUUAUAACGAACAUGGUUCUUGCCUUUUACCAGAACCAUCCGGGUGUUGUCUCCAUUAAAACAGGCAAAGCUGUCCGUUACUGUGAACUUGUCGCAUUUUUUGGAACU